AUACCCUCCCUGUAGCAGCACCUGGCCACAGGCACCAGCUGUCUGUUCUCUAGGUAUAAGGAAGUAGGGACGUAGACUGGCCAGAGAAUGGAUGUGGGGAUGCAAAGAGGGCAGCACAGCCUAGUACAGCCAGCCCAGGACCACAGAAGUCCUCUUUCACAGGAACACGCGUAGGAAAUUAAAACCAUUUGAGUAAAUAAGGAUAAUGCGA